UUGAGAGCAACAAGACAUAAU
rnacentral:miRNA from 1 species